UCAUCUUUAUUAGGUUUAUAGGGUACCUAGACCGAAAGCCAAGCCUUAAUCGGGACUAGUUUUCUAGAGUUUUAUGUGAGAAAGUUGAAUGAUCAGAGUAGAGUCAAAAUUCGCUAAUACUGAUAAGACGGAUAACGGCGAAGGCUGCUUUCUAUGUAAAAAACUGACGUUGAGGUACGAAGCCCAGGGUAGCAAGAAGGAUUAGAUACCCUAGUAGUCCUGGGAGAAAAUUAUGAGUGCCAUAGAUUAGAUAUAUGAUUAAUUUAUAAAUGAAAGUGUAAGCAUUCCACCUCAUGAGUAAAGCGGCAACGCCCAAAUUGAAAUCAUUAGACCGUUUCUGAAACCAGUAGUGAAGUAUGUUAUUUAAUUCGAUAAUCCGCGAAAAACCUUACCACACUUUGAAUAAUAUUCAAUUUUUACAAGCGCUGCACGGCUGUCUACAGUUGAUAUCGUGAGAUUUUGGUUAAUUCCUUUAAUUAACGAAAACCCUUGUUUUAUUUUUUCAAAUAAAGCUGUUCUCCGUCUAGAUGGGAUAUGCUAAAAGGGAGCAAGACAAGUCAUUAUGGCCUUA
rnacentral:rRNA from 1 species